rnacentral:rRNA from 1 species
UGGGGGAUAUUGCACAAUGGGCGCAAGCCUGAUGCAGCGACGCUGCGUGGGGGAUGAAGGCCUUCGGGUUGUAAACUUCUUUUGCUCUGAACAAGGCGCACUUUGGGGUGUGUUGAGUGUAGGGGUUGAUUAGCGCCGGCUAACUACGUGCCAGCAGCCGCGGUAAUACGUAGGGCGCGAGCGUUGUCCGGAAUUAUUGGGCGUAAAGGGCUUGUAGGUGGCUGGUUGCGUCUGUCGUGAAAGCUCAUGGCUUAACUGUGGGUUUGCGGUGGGUACGGGCUGGCUUGAGUGCAGUAGGGGAGGCUGGAAUUCCUGGUGUAGCGGUGGAAUGCGCAGAUAUCAGGAGGAAUACCGGUGGCGAAGGCGGGUCUCUGGGCUGUUACUGACACUGAGGAGCGAAAGCAUGGGGAGCGAACAGG